rnacentral:lncRNA from 1 species
CUAAAACUCAUGAUCAAACUCUAGACAUAUCCAAGCCAUUUACCAACCUCAACAUACCAGGUUACCACACUUUGAAGUUUAACACAUAAGGCUUAUAUAGGCUAUAACGAUUCUACUUCCAGUGGUGUCAAAAAAUAUAGUUUCGAGAUCUUUUUUCUAAUUGAGUUCGUCAAUAUUAAAUAAGGAUGUUUAUUGAGUUAGUGUAUAGAUGAAUUGAAAUUUGGAUAAGUAAUUUAAUCGAAAUUGUGAAUAAUUAAGGCUCAAGGAC